GGAGGAGCAGACAUUCAGAUGAAGCAGUAAGUGCAGCAGAGCUAAAGGGAGUCGGUGUUGUUAAUAACCUGCAAUCACAUCUGUGUGCAGGCCCGGACUGACCAUCUGUGAGAUUGGGCAAUUGCCCGAUGGGCUGCCUCUUCCUUCUGUAUAUGGGCCGCUAGAAGCAAUUAGAAAUAAAGAAUCGGAACAUCCGUACUGACGAGCUUUGCAGUGUGUGUGAAGGAGUUGAAAUAAUUCCCUCCCUCUUCCUGGGUCCUGAAGUGCUGCACAUUUACAUAACGGCUCAGCAGCCAGCCCAGCCAAUGCUUUCUAUAGGUCAGGUGACUUACUCACUGACCUAUAGGAGAAGAUACAAAUAGGCGCGCCUCUUUUUGAGAGCCUGCAGCCAACUUAUCUCUCUGGCUCCGUGGGGACUGGGGCUGUGCGACCUGCAGGAAUCAAUUAACCCUCUCAGCCUGGAGCUGAACAGAUCUGCACAGAGAGGAAUCAGUAAAGCAGCUGAGCAUAACAGGCCCAAGCUAAAGACAAAACAAUAAAGUUACUUUUGUGUACCCAAUAUAUACAAGCAAGAAAUAGUGAAUACUAUACGUAGAAUCCAGAUAAGGAUUAUGGGAUGCCAAGAGGUUUAUGAAGUGUACGCUAAAUAUUGGAAUACUGGUUGAACGACUUCUCCCCUUGCUGCGGGUUCGGGGCGCUGCAGCAGAACCACCAUUGGAGAGUGGUAAAUGUGGUGCUGAAUGAUGAGCCUGAGGAGGAGGAAGAGAGAAAUGUUCUUAGGAAACUAAAGAACUGACCCCAGAAACAAAGUAUUGGGGGAGCGAUGGACCCAGAGAGUCAGAUGCAGGAGGAGGAUGUUGUGUCUCAUAUAAUCCACAAGGUGGAGACAGAGAGGGAAGAGUUGGUCGGGCAGAUCCUGGACAUGGAGGAGAUGUGUAACAUGUGUGAUACAUUGUGUUCCUUACUGGCACAGGAAUCACAAGGAGCUGCACUGUGUGGGGCUGAGGGGGCACAUAAUGAGGGGGGCACAGAUGGGAUAAUGGCCCCUGGAUUGGCUCAUAUUGUGCUGGGUAUAAGGACACUGAUCUAUGGGCAGGAGGCUACA